UUUUUUUUUUUUUUUUUUUUUUUUUUAAGUAGAGACGGAGUUUCACCGUGUUAGCCAGAAUGGCCUCCAUCUCCUGACCUCGUGACCUGCCCGCCUCGGCCUCCCGAAGUGCUGGGAUAACAGGCGUGAGCCACCGCGCCCGGCCGAGGUGUUCUUUCUAUGUCAGUGGUUCUCAACCUUGACCGCAUGUUAGAGUCGUUAGAGGAGCUUAAAAUGUCCAGACUGUGCCCCAGAGCAGAAUCCCUCGGGAUAGGGUCGAUGGAUUAGGACUUUUUUUAAGCUGAUAAUUUUAUAUCUAUGUAAGAUCUUCUGUUUCCUGAACUUCGUGUGAACAGGUCAGGCGCCUGUUGGACCCCUGGAGCCUGGUUAAUGGGAACGACCACAGUGGGCAUCAAAUGGGUAACUUCAGUACGCCAGCACGGUUGAGAACUAUUGUUCAACGCGAACUUCACAUAUGAAGCCCCUCUCAUGUGUCAGGCACGGCGUCAGAUGCUGGACGGCAAGAAGGUGGCCUUCUGCAAAUGGGGAUGAGUCCUCACCAGGUGUGGGAUCUGCCAGCACCUCGAUCUUGGGCUUCCCAGCCUCAGUACUGUAAGAAAGUUUCGCUCUUUCACCCAGGCUGGAGUGCAGUGGCACGAUCUUGGCUCACUUCAACCUCUGCCUUCCAGUUUCAAGUGAUUCUACUGCCUCAGCCUCCCAAGUAGCUGGGAUUACAGGCACCCACCACUAUGCUCGGCUAAUUUUUUUGUAUUUUCAAUAGUGACAGAGUUUCACCAUAUUGGCCAGGCUGGUGUCGAACUCCUGACCUCAUGAUCUGCCCACCUCUGCCUCCCAAAGUGCUGGGAUUACAGGCGUGAGCCAUCGCGCCCAGCCCAUAAGUUUUAGUGCCUUUUUUUCAUAGAUGCUGAAACUGAAAAAGGGUGUGGUUAAAUAAUUUGCCCAAGCCAGUCUCUGGCAAAGAUGGGAUUCAUAUCCAGCUACUGAUGACCAAACAUGGUGAGCAGGUAUCCUAUGUCCCGAGGAAGCCCAUUCCACCUGAGCACUGGAUGGAAGGGAUAUCGCAAUCACCCCCAUGCAUGAUGGACAGGUCUAGGAGCAUUGGACACUCAAUGGAAACUCAUGCCCCUGUCAGAAAUUGGCAACUGCCACUUCCACGGCACUUGCAAACUUUGCACACGGUCCAGAUGUGGCCUGGCUUGUUGCUGUCAUGGUAGCAAUAGUAAUUACUUAGGGGAUUUCUGCAGAUCUUGCUCAUAUUGUGCAUAAUAGGGUAUAAAAUAUGGAAAAUUUGCCUCUAAAAUAAAGUGUUGCUGGCAAACUCAAA
ensembl:lncRNA LINC02649 long intergenic non-protein coding RNA 2649